rnacentral:lncRNA from 1 species
UUUGUGAGAUAUCUUAGCAGGAUUGAAAUUAAAUGAACGUAACAAGAAUAAUUAUAAUAAAAAUAAUAAGCAUUAUUAAGAUUAUUUUUAUGCUAACAAGUAAACAAAUUUAAAGAAGUCAAAAAUUAGAAAAAUCAACAAAUGACUCUAUCGAUUGAUUAUAUAUAGUUCAUGAGUGUAGCUUCUUACUACCUAGAUUAUGUUAAAAUAUUAUAUACUGUUAUUAUAUUAAACACGCUGAAUAUUAUGGUUUUCAACAUGUAGUAAUUUAUUGUUUCACACACUGUAUUUAUGAUUUUUAUAACGACAAAGUGCGUUAUCUAAAGACGUCGGGAGACAAUUGUAACACCUUUUGUGGGAAAUUGCAACAUACUGCAAUUGAUUAUUAUAUAGAUUACAAUUUAAAAAAAUAUUUGUUUAUAUUAAAUUCUUAUAAGCAACAUCAAGAAAACGACUAGCAGUUGCUAAUAUGAAAAGUAAGUCUAUAAAAAAAGUGAUAGCUGGAAAAGUGCAUAAUGUUGCUAAAAAAGACGUUACUAAAAAAAUCUUUAAAGGAUACAAUACUUUUCUGUCCUGGUCUAGAAUAAAGACAAUCGUCUCACAAGGAAUCUGUAGAUAUGCUUCUAAUUUAAUGCAUCAAUACAGAAUUUUAGUAAAGAAUAUCGAAACUUUCUCAGCUUAAUUAGAAAAUCUUGGCAUUAGAAUGAAAC